rnacentral:rRNA from 1 species
GGAUCCAGACUUUGAUUCUGGCUCAGGACGAACGCUGGCGGCGUGCCUAACACAUGCAAGUCGAACGGAACUUUUUUAAAAGAUUUCUUCGGAAUGAAUUUGAUUAAGUUUAGUGGCGGACGGGUGAGUAACGCGUGAGUAACCUGCCUCUAAGAGGGGAAUAACAUUCUGAAAAGAAUGCUAAUACCGCAUAAUAUAUAUUUAUCGCAUGGUAGAUAUAUCAAAGAUUUAUCGCUUAGAGAUGGACUCGCGUCCGAUUAGUUAGUUGGUGAGGUAACGGCUCACCAAGACUGCGAUCGGUAGCCGGACUGAGAGGUUGAACGGCCACAUUGGGACUGAGACACGGCCCAGACUCCUACGGGAGGCAGCAGUGGGGGAUAUUGCGCAAUGGGGGAAACCCUGACGCAGCAACGCCGCGUGAAGGAUGAAGGUCUUCGGAUUGUAAACUUCUUUUAUUAAGGACGAAGAAAGUGACGGUACUUAAUGAAUAAGCUCCGGCUAACUACGUGCCAGCAGCCGCGGUAAUACGUAGGGAGCAAGCGUUGUCCGGAUUUACUGGGUGUAAAGGGUGCGUAGGCGGCUUUGCAAGUCAGGUGUGAAAUCUAUGGGCUCAACCCAUAGCCUGCAUUUGAAACUGCAGAGCUUGAGUGAAGUAGAGGCAGGCGGAAUUCCCCGUGUAGCGGUGAAAUGCGUAGAGAUGGGGAGGAACACCAGUGGCGAAGGCGGCCUGCUGGGCUUUAACUGACGCUGAGGCACGAAAGCGUGGGUAGCAAACAGGAUUAGAUACCCUGGUAGUCCACGCUGUAAACGAUGAUUACUAGGUGUGGGGGGUCUGACCCCUUCCGUGCCGGAGUUAACACAAUAAGUAAUCCACCUGGGGAGUACGGCCGCAAGGUUGCAACUCAAAGGAAUUGACGG